AAACCAACAGGGAUUGCCUCAGUAACGGCGAGUGAAGCGGCAACAGCUCAAAUUUGAAAUCUGGCCUCACGGUCCGAGUUGUAAUUUGUAGAGGAUGUUUUGGGCACCGCCCCGGGUUAAAUUUCUUGGAACAGAAUGUCAAAGAGGGUGAGAGUCCCGUCUUGGCCCGCGGUAGGACCUGUGUAAAACUCCUUCGACGAGUCGACUUGUUUGGGAAUGCAGGUCAAAAUGGGUGGUAAAUUUCAUCUAAAGCUAAAUAUCGGCCAGAGACCGAUAGCGCACAAGUAGAGUGAUCGAAAGAUGAAAAGCACUUUGAAAAGAGAGUUAAACAGUAUGUGAAAUUGUUGAAAGGGAAGCGCUGGCAACCAGACUCGAACGCGGUGUUCCCCCUGGCUUCUGCCUGGGCUACUUCACCGUGACCGGGCCAUCAUCAGUUUCGGGGGUCGGUCAAAGGUUCGAGGAAUGUACCCACUCCUUCGGGGGUGGACUUAUAGCCUCGGGCGUCAUGCGACCUCCCGGGACUGAGGAACGCGCUUCGGCGAGGAUGAUGGCGUAAUGGUUGUCAGCGAC
rnacentral:rRNA from 1 species